GUGAGGGGGCGGCCGCCAUGAUGGGGCGCCAUGAGGGCUCGGCUGGUCUCGCCGCCCCUGCCAGGGCCCUGCCCGCUACUGUUACCAGCGCGCCUACCCCAGAAGAAAUCUCCGGUAGCUUUACGAGCUGGUGACUUUAGCCUCCCUCACCACCGCAGAGAAGCGUUCAGUAGUGAAAGUCUAAAGUAGAAAAGGGCAGUAUGACCAAAUGACGGAAGAUUUAAAAAGCGCAACCCCUUCCCUGUGAUUUGCAGCGUGGGCUCAGCACAAUCUGCUUGUAGCUACAGGGAUAAAUCAGGAGGAAUAAGUCAAAAUUAGCCUUAGGAAAUAAAAUCUGUGAAGCAAUCCUGACAGCUGCCCGGGAUGUCGAUUCCUUAUGGAAUGGGAAGGUCAGGAUCAGAGCAGGGCCUCUCCCACAGCAAUGGCACCUGUUGUCCCCUGCCGCCAGCACAUUUUCAUUUGCAAAGACUAAAUUCUGCUUGACAGAUACAAACACACCAAGUAUGCUGAGGAUAGCUGAGAGUGCUGCAGGUCACAGAGAACCUCGGGAUUGAAGGAAUUUUUGUGGUAACCAGGAAUCACGAAGAAGGAGUCGGGAUGCUCAGGCACAUGGAAAAUGCUGCUGCCACGAGAGAAGGCAGGCUGGGAUGACAGAAACGAGCUGGUGACGAGCAAGGACAACAAGCAAGCAGCUGCUGAGAUGCAUUCUCACCAGAGAAACCCCUCUGUUUCACUCUCCAAAGGCUCAGGAGAAAAUUGCAGGAACUACAGAGGCCCUGUGGUAUUGUCUCCCUCUGCUGAAGAUCGGUGAGACAAGAGCAGCUCCGCAGGACAAAACGACACAAGCCCCACGGGAUAAAGAGUAAAUCCAGGAUUGAUGACCCCUGAAUACCGAAUUCUGCCCUCCUGCAGCAAACAGCUAAGGGAUUUACUGUCCAAAACCAGCGCCCCGAGUGAAAACUGAAGAGCUGUGAGGCAGCAGUCAGUACCAGGAGCAGAAAUUUAAUCUGAGCCACAAUUGUGAUGCUGGUGAGUUUAUUCUGCAAUCACAUUUCAGAGGACUUUUCGUGGCAAACUUGCAUUAAGAGCACUCAAUAACCCCCAGCUGUACUUUCUUUGUAAACCAAGCCCUUCAUUGCAGCCUGGUCUCUUUAGACUGCAGAGAUCACUAGAACAGUCAAUUGCAUAUGUACUAAUUGCAGCAAAUGAAAAUACUGGAUAAAUAUUCACCGGUAUGAUGUAGUUAAAAUUAAUGUGAAUAAUUAGAUUAUUUAGGGUAGCAAUUUGAAUAUAUCUGAGCCUGAUUUCUUUUUAGAUACUUAAUCACGUCCAAUUUUAUUUUAGAAAAGGUUUGUAAGAUCACUUUGUAGGGCUGUUUUGGUUUGUUUUUGUGUUUUCUUUGUUUUGUUUUUGUUUUAUCCGUGUGUGUGUGAACAUUUCCAGAGGAUCUAAGACUAAAAGCAGCCGCUGAUUUCAGACGGUCACAUCGGCAUUAGGUGGCACAGUGCUUUCCCGGCGGGCAGCCGUCACCCCACCCACGGUGCCCUGAGUCUUUACCUUCUCCAGCAGCAGCAGCUUCUGCAGCUCUUUGCUCAGAGGAAUCUUUGUGCUGACUCGAUCCAUAACAUCCAGCCCCAGCGUUUUUUUCCAGUGCACCACGCUUUGCGUAAAACUCCCACGAAGAACGAAACUAAUUCAGUUUUCCACUAGUUAUGAACGCACCUUCCAGUCCAUUUCACUCUCAGGCUCCAGACACAUUAUAUCCAACCACUUCCAGGCAACAUUACCUGCAACAAAACUCCGGAACCAACCUGCUUCCUACCGCAUUUUUCCUAAAUGCCGAGUGCCCAAUCUGCCUUGCAGUGGACCCAGCAGGUGCCCGCUGACUCGGCUGCAAACCACGCUAUCAGCAAACCCAGUUUGUCCCAGUGUCCGAUUGAUGGGGAGGCCGUGCCUUUGGAGAAAGCUGUCCUAGGUGAUGCUCUGCUUGCUCGCCACUUCUCCGCCAGCCUGGAUACAGGGAUUUUUGCCUGCCGGGAUUUACACUGCCAGUCACAAAAUGCCCGAGGCAGGAAUUAACCUGCCCUGAGAGAGUGGUUUGCUGCUUCAGCUGAUGAAACCUCUGAUGGCAGCUUCGCAAAGAGAGGAUGUCACCAUCGGGAUCACACACGCCGGCAGCAACGAAGAUAGGAAGGAGUCAAGAUGAAAGCAAAUAAAUUCGGCGGCACCGGAGGGCUCCAGCACUGCCUCUGUGGUCAAGCCUUGCCCAAGCUCUCCGCCCCUGUCCCGGCUGCUAGUAGCUCCAGGGAGGGGCACUCCCCCUCCAGAGAAUCCCACUCGGGCCUUGAGGAACCUGCCUCUAGUUUGCGCUAAGAUUUCACAGAGACAAAAGACUCCCUCCCCCCUUCUCCCCAGGAUCAGGGCUCUUGCCCUGUCUCAGAUUACACUUGCACGAAGCGAGGGCUGGCGGAGCAGGCAAAGGAGGCACCGGUGCAGAGCAUAGGACACGCUCUAGCCCUGCCCUGCACGCUGGUGACAGGCAUUUGCACAGGUUGUUCCUGUUCUGCAGAGCUCGGCAUCCUCUCAGUCUGCCUGCAAAAUCCUUGACAGACAAGAGGCUGAUCUGCUGGCUACUAUCAAGCUAAAAAGGGACCAAAAAUGAAGGCUGCAAUUCUCCAGCUGUCUCUGCUCCUUGCAUGAUAAAACAGGAAUGUAACUGGAUGACCCUGUGUCAGGAAAACCAAGAAGAUUUAAGCAAUACAGGGCAUUCCAGAGGCAGAGGACACUGGACAAACCAAGAACUGGGAAGUCAUUCUGCAAUCCUGGAGCCCUUCUGCAGCAAGGCCUGGGUGUUGUGGGCACCAGACACUGGGUGAGGCAAAAAAAUUCUGUGUGUCUUCAUUGUGGCACAACAUGCAGCAGUGCUGGCAGCAGCCCCAUCUCCUCAACACUACAUGCAAUCCUCAACACUACAGAAAGCUGGCAAAACUCACCACUGCCACUGUUUCUAUGCAGCAAUGAAACCACAGACUCGAGUCUUUCCAGUGCUCUAGCAAAAGCAAAGGGGCCUCGAGAGUGCCUGUGUUAUUCUAGGUCAGUUUGCAUGCAAGCAGCACUUUGAUCUUUCUUCCCAGACUCAUUCACAGACAUCACGGGGCUGAAUUUAAUUUUGUAAGGGUUAAACUCAUUCAUUUGCCCUCAUUGGACAAAAUCGCAAAGGGGAGGGAAAUAAAUUUAUAAACAGAGAUCAGAUUCUAUUUACCAGCCUGCUGUAGCAGGGCUUUCUCUACAGAACAAAGCAGUCCAAGAUUUAUUACUUUCUACAAAGCAUCUGUGAUGAUUUCAGGAGUCCAAACAAGUGGGAUGCCAAGGCUCACUUUUAGCAGCUUUUUGCUAGUAACUGGGACAAAACAAUGACUCAGAAGUGCAAAGACCAUAAGGUGGGAAAUGCAGACAUGAAAUAUAAAAACGUUGUUCAUAAAUCAAAACAGACAAAAGAUUGCUUCUCCAAACCUGUUACUGAUCCUCCAUUCAGUUUUCCUUAGAAUUAGUUAAAUUUCUGGGAAUAAUACUAAGAAGCUUUAGCUAAUACACAGCAUCAAUGUGGGUCAUGUACAAAACCUUGUGCUGUUAGGUCCAGCAAGUCACAGAGUCUGUAAGAGGUGCCUGUUCUUCCUCAGAUUAUCUGUGCUUCAGCAGACUCAUCAAGCUCUGUGUAGGUUGUAAAACUUUUCCUUGUUUUUUUUUUCUCCUUUAUUCUUUACCCAUUAAAUUUCCUUUCCAACAUAAAAGCAGACUGUACAUAGUAUCUGAAACACUAUUACAUCAAAUCAAUAGAGAGAAAUAUUACAGUCAUUCUAACAAAUACUUUUCUUCUUAAAUAUUGUAAAAAUCUGUAUCACUCUAGCGACCAUCUCACAUCCCCCUCACUGAAGGAUGAGAUGAGGAGGCCUGCUUGUUUCAACAACUGCUUUCAGCUCAGCAGUUUAAGGUAAAAAUACCCAAGCAAAAUAUUUCAGACGUUUUAGUGUGCCUAAAAUGUCGUUAUCUUAAAUUUUAAACUAAUUUUCUUGUAUGUUCACACGUACUGCUGAAAUUCAGGGACAAUGUAUUUCAGAUGAAAUUCUUUCAAGUCCAUUUACAUAAACGGUGCUCGACGUCAAAAUUAAACAUGCUGUCAACAAUCUGUACAAAGGUAAAGGUGAAAAAUAUAAUCUGAUUACAAAAGAAUUUAACACCAUCUGUACACCACAGAUAAUGCUUUUUAGAAGAUAAAUUUAUCACCAUCCUCAUUCAAUCAUUCUGAGAUGUUAUCUCCCAAUUUCUAAAACAUGUAUUUUCUGUGUAUUUAUAUACAAUUAGUGUUUUUAUAGUAUUUCCUGCUUGACUGUGAAGAGUUCAGGUAUUAUACAAUGGCUCAAAUGAGAUGAAUGAGGGGGAA